CUUCUGUGAGUCUACACUUUCAUUAAGAAAAGAGAGUACCCACAAAGCAAGAUGACAACUUUGUUCAUGUUAAACUGUUGCAGUUCAGAUGUGCCACUCUCAGCCUCCCUUCAGCAGGAUGCAGUUAACAACCAUGCUGACAAGGAGCGUUGGAGUUGCGGGAAGUACUCUGCGGUGCAGCCUUGGAGCACACUGCUUCCUGCAGUGCAAGAGGCACACAGCCAGCAGGCAGGUGACCCCGACCUCACCGCCUCCAGAUGGAAAGAGCGGGAACGAUGAGGCGAGAAGCGAGAGCGGCGGGAAGCGAAAACGGCGGGAAGAGAGAGACACGUUCUGCGCUCCUAUUGGCUGGCGGGCGGCGGGGACACCUAUAUAAGGCUCACGGGGAAAUGCAAACUCCUUACAGCGUGACAGGAAUCCCACUGCUCUGAGGAAAAGACGGCAAGCGGCAUCCCGGGCUGAGGAGCUCCCGCAGAAGACGGCGGAAGAAGCCACGUGUGGAACCGGGCGGCAGGAGGAUGCAAGCAGAGGGAGCAAGAAGAGGAAGCAGAAGACUGCGGCUGGGCUAAGGGAGAGGCGGCCUGGGCAAAAGCAUCUCCCUGUCACCAGGGGCAUAGUCAUGUCGCAGUAGAGCG
rnacentral:lncRNA from 1 species